UAGGUUGAAGCUCGCUGGUUUGGGCGCCUAGCUGUUAACUAGGAGUGCGUGGGAUCGAGGCCCAUCAAUCUAG
rnacentral:tRNA from 1 species